rfam:Populus trichocarpa isolate Nisqually-1 chromosome 6, whole genome shotgun sequence.
UCUAGAACUCGAGAUAUGGGCUGAACACUGAACAGUGUCUAGGCUAUAGGACAAAUUCUGACUUCUCUUUUGUUGCUACAAUUUGAACUUGAAAACGGCCGUUGUGAAUCUUGGACUCUUCAUGAAAGUUUUAGACCUAUGUCUUAGCUUUCUAUU